rnacentral:tRNA from 5 species
GGGCCGUUAGCUUAACGGUUAAAGCCACCGGCUCAUAACCGGUUCAGUGGGGGUUCGAAUCCCUCACGGCCCA